UCUGGAUCAGCUAAAUCAGGGGUAGCCAACGCGGUGCCCGCGGGCACUAAGUCGCCCGCAGGGGGGAAAUUGGUCGCCCGCGUGCAUGUUCUAAAAAUAGCACAAGUCACCAUGGAGCUCCGUC